CCUGCCCCUAGAAGCAUUGCAGGGGUGGCUGCUGUACCACAUGUUGGGUCAGUAGGUGACAGAGAAGAGAAAGACUAUGACUCCUCUUAGUAUUCAGAACUAUGAAUAUCUAAAUGAUUAGUAGCCUAACAUU